UACGUAGGGUGCGAGCGUUAAUCGGAAUUACUGGGCGUAAAGCGUGCGCAGGCGGUUUUGUAAGCCAGGUGUGAAAUCCCCGGGCUUAACCUGGGAACUGCAUUUGUGACUGGCGGGCUAGAGUAUGGCAGAGGGGGGUAGAAUUCCACGUGUAGCAGUGAAAUGCGUAGAGAUGUGGAGGAAUACCGAUGGCGAAGGCAGCCCCCUGGGCCAAUACUGACGCUCAUGCACGAAAGCGUGGGGAGCAAACAGG
rnacentral:rRNA from 1 species